UUUGGCUGGGCCAUUGUUUGGACCAGGGUGGAUUUCCAGCAGAGACGUGGUCAGAGGACAGCUGCUCCCUGUGGCCCACCCCCGGCUCCCAGGAGCAGGUCAGAGCAGAACACUUGUGAGGUGCAAUGAGGGUCCUCAGUUGAACCUCUUUCCUGGAGGGGAGAGCAGGAGCUUCGUCAGCACAUGGUCAUGACCAGCCAAGUCCAGACAAGCAGCUGAGCCUAGGCCAGAAGCCCCAGGUGCCAUUCUGUCCUCAGGGUGGUGGUGGCAAUGAGUGACAAGAGCUGACUGCUUCCUCUGAGCACCUCACCUCCACUUCCCCAGAUCAGCUAAGGUCCUCUCUUGGCAGGUGAGAAGAAGGACUUCAGGGACAUUUCCUGCAGACGGCAUGCUAGAUGCUGGGCUCGGCGCCGGUUUUAAAAACAUGCAAACAAACAAAAAGCCCCCAAGGGAGACUGUCCUGUAAAUAAAUAACCAAGGCUCACCGUAUAGAGUGCAGUAAUAGAGGAUGCUGUCAAUUGCAAGAAGCCCCAUGGAUUUAAGGACAUUCAAAAAAAGGGUUUUUUUUGAGGAGGAAGAAACAUGGCCACAUUAAACAAAUCCAUCAACGCAUUCACUUUUUUAGAAAUAUUAAUAUAUGAAAAAAUGCACAUCUUAGAAUUAGGAAAAUUCUUCUUGGUUCUUGUCAGCCUCCAGAAAAACUUGGCUGUCCCGGAAGAUGUGCGAUGUUUGCCCCUGGCUCCGUGUCCCCAUCAUACAGAAGUGGGGAGCACAGGAUGAGGUCACGCUUUUUGUGAGUUGGACCCCCGGUUUUCCCAGGGAGAAUUUUUUCUGUUCACGCAGAAUGCUCAGGGGCUGGAGUUCCAGGUAGUCAAGUCAUUCUGGUUAAAUAAGGGUCACUCUCAAUACAUUUAAAAUUUUAGAGUUUUGAGGUUAGAAAUUGUCUAAAAGAUAAUCUCAUCCAUAAGCAUCUAAUGAAUACCUAAUAUGGACCUGUCUCUCUACAUUUAUAUUGUCGUCUCCAGAACAUUCUCACGCUAACAGUUGAUGAUUUCACAGAGUUCCUCGGGGGCUUUGUCACUGACACCAGUUUUCUAGAACUAGAAGUUGAAGUGGCAGAUGGGGCUGAAUGAGAAUCGAUACCAUUGGUGUGUUAUCUCAUUUGUUUCUUACAACACUGAGGAUAUUCUUUCCAUAGAUAUUCUCAUUAGACCAAGGAAGAAAUUGAGGCUCUGACUGGUUAAGCUCCUUGCCUGGCACCACCAUGUGCCUAGCGAGUGGCAGAGCAGGCCCUCCACCAGGCUCCCCUGCGCUCGGUCCCCAGGCUGCCCUCUUCUUUGUGUGGCUUCUGUGGUGUGGGAAACACCUGAGCAGCUUUGGUUUUGUUUGUUUGUUCCAACAAAACCAGAUUCCUUUUUUUUUUUUGCAUCUUUUCCCUACACUGAAGGCCAACCCCCAAAUAACUCCAAGACGUUGAGGAGAGAGAGCCCUCUGGGCUGUGUGUGGCUCUAUGACAAGGGCCUGUUUAAGUGCAUUCGGUAAGUAGCUAUUUGUUUCAGCCCCAUCUGUGUGCUCGGCAUGGGGCAAACAAGUCACAAAAGUGGGCUCCAUGUUGCCCUCCACAGUGUCCUCUUGCCUGUCUGUAAACUCCUCAAGGGCAGGCCCUGGUAACCACACAUCUACACAGGACCAAGUCACACCUGAACUCUGCCAGGCUGCCUCAGCCUGCCCCCGAGGCGCCCCCUGUCGGUGGGAAGAUGGGCAGGUGGGCUGUGAACCCAUCUGCUAACACAGCAGUGUGAGCUCAGUGUGGCUGAAGAGCUGCCAGAGCUCAGAGGAGGGCUCCAUGAAUCUAGCGGACCAGAGGCGGAGGGUGGGGUCAGUGUGGGGGGAUAGAUCGCUGAGGAGGUGACAUCUGAAGGAUGAAAGAAAUUCCCCAGAGGGAUGGAGGGCAUUCCUAGCAGGGGAACAGCAUGAGCAAAGCUCAAGUCUUGGGAGUACACAGCACAUAGAGGAUGGUAUGGGUAUGAAAGUGUAUGUGUGUGUGUGUGUGAGAGAGAGAGGCUCCUAUUUGUGUUCAUCUAUCUUUCCUUGGUCUCUGGCUUCCCCCGUGAGACCCUUCCCCAGGGCUCUUGGUCUAGCCCUGAACUCUAUGGGCCACUCGUGCUCCCCUCUGGGCUCAGAGCUUCUGCACUUCAGCCCCACAGUGCUUCCCUGUUCCCUCAGCAGCUCCCCGCCUUGACUUUGUUCUUCCUAAGCCUGCCCUCAGCUUGGCCUCCAGAAGGACACUUGAUCCCAUCCCAUGACUGGCGGUGGGGUGCGGCCCUCAGAGCAGCUGCAAGGAUGUUGACUCCAGAUGGAAAGUGUUUCGAGAAUUCUGACGUGACAUCACACCAUCACGACAUUGCGCUGACAGUAACUGAUCUGGGAGUGGCCAGGCAAAGGAAAGCACAAAUGUGACGUUAAACACACAGAGGAGACCCCACAUCAGUGACUCACACAGAUGCUGCCAAGGAUCCAGCUGCUUCACACUGUGCAGACAAGAUGGGGGUCUGCAAGCCCGCGUGCGCCGGCAGGGCCCGAGAAGACUGCUGGAGAUUCUGUUUGCGCAUGAAGACACUGUAGGCUCCUCUGGCAGUCUACACCCAAGAGAGAUGGUGGGGAAGGCUUUGGGGCUGAUGGACCAGCUGUGAGGGACCAAGGACAAUCUUCGGGAAGGGGAGAAGAAGAGCAGGCCUGCCCCAGGUCUGGAGCACCAGAUAUAUAAGGUGAGACCAGAACAGCUUGUACCAGAAGACAAGAAAGUUAUCGAACACCACUGGGGUCAUGUCAAAAGGACUCAGGUGCCGACCUGAAGGAGCUCCCACUGGACAAAAUGGCAUCGUUUGUGCUUCAAAAACAAAACUAAACAAACAAACAAAGACCCUGCAAUGAAUUGAAAUACAUCAAAUAUUUUAAAACUCCAUGAGUUCAAGAUGAUAAUUAAAAAAAGACACUUGGAGGAUGCUUAGAAAAAACCAACUCACUCUUCCAAAAAUUGAUAAAGGGAAAGCGAACUCUGGGGCUUCCCAAUGAUAUUGUGAAGUUGCACAUUCGUUGGAAGGCCUCCCAUGUACUCCCAAGACUCUCCCUCUGGCUUUCUCCAGGCCUAAAUUUCCACCAUUAGAGACUCCUUUCUUUGGGUUAAGAAAUGUCCUGAGUCAAAGCCAAAGUACGCUUGGGAAAAGUUUGUUAACUACUUUGCUCACAGAUUGGGAUGGAGAAAAAGUGGAAAAUCCUAUGGUCCCUGGAGUCCGACAGAUAGGGAUCCAGCCAGAGAGAAGGAGCUGAGGGUCAAAGAACUUGGCAGCAUCAUCCAGGGCAGGAGGACUACCUGGGCUGCCUAUCCAAAGUUCAGCUCCUCAGUAGACACCUCAGGUGGUGUCUGAUCCAGCAGGUGGAAAGAAUGGCAGAAAUAUACAUUUUAUUACACAUCUCAGGUGACUCGGACACAGGUGGUGCUGCCACUGUUUUCCAGGGGACGCUGGACCAGAGCUCCUGGAUCUUUCCUGUUGGCCUGUGUGACUUUCUGCUCCAGCGGCACUGGGCUGUCACAGCUGAGCAAUUCCAGCCUCUGCAAACUUCACCAGGCCCCUCAGCCCGGGAUCUCUUUACUAUUGCCAGGUCCCUUUAAGAUUCCAAGCCCUUCCCUGUGUGGGGAAGCCAGCACCGUGUAGAAGGGACCCAGCCACGUGAGUCCCAGUGUAGGCUCUGAGCUACCUGCCCUCACCCUCUCCCACAGCUUCCUGAGCUGUCCUGACACGCCCAGAUUCUCACGUGACAGUCCGCUCACUCCUGGCCCCUGACGCUUGACAAUAUUUCUUGGGCUUUGCUGGGCCUGGGACCCUGCGUCUCAGCCCAGGCCCCAAGAUGCCCUUGGUCCUGGGGUCCCUCUCUCCUCUCUGAUGCCCUCAUGGGACCCUCAUGGGCAGAAGGCUUUUUGCAGCCCUGCUCACCAGCUCUGUGCCUCAGCCAGAUUUGUGGCUGGGCUACCCUCACUCCGGAGUCGGCCAACCACCCUCACCAUCCUCCUUCCCACCCUACCACCUCCUCCAGCCCCCUCCUAUCCCUUGGGCUCUUCCAGUCCCUCCCCCCCCUGCUGAGAUGAGCACCCGUAUUCCAGGCCCGAGUCCAUCCUGCCCUAGUAACACUCCUCAGCCCACCUCUUCCCCAGGGACCCAGCGCCCAGUUUGGGGCUGACCUUCUGAAUCCCACCCCCAUACGCCCAGCCUUGACUGACGGGCCCAGGCCAAGCUUCCCUGUUCUGACCCCUGGCCUUUGCCUGACCCCAUGGGCAGGCCUGGGUGCCAGCCUCUGCCCUCCCUGGCUGGCCUGUCCCCCUGCCGCCUGAGCCUGGGUCGUGACAUCUUUCCACCUAGCGGCUUUUAUUUUGAGAAGGCAAACACAGCGGCACCCACAGGCAUGUGCACACACACACAUGCACCCCCUCCAUGCCCCGACACCUCACGCACUGGCAUGAAAAUCAGGCUGGCCAUGUUUAUUUUUCUUCCGUUAAUUUCCCCUGUAGAACGAACACCCGUCCUGUAACACCCCCCACCCCCUUCUUGCAGAUCCGAGGCUCCCCCCGCCCUCUUCUGUGUCCUCCCUUCGCAGCUGUGAAUGAGAACAGAGUGAGUCUUUUAGCAGGAGGCAGCGGCCUGAAUGAACCGAUCGUGGCCUCAAAGCCAGCGGGGAAGGAGGGGUUGUGAGCAUGUGUGUUUGCGUCUCAGAAACUCUUUGCACACCCCCAAGCUCAGAUUUUUCCAUGUGCCUUGGAGCGAAUGCCUCCCCAUCUCACCCCCUCCUUUUCAAUUUUAUUUUAUUUCAUUUUUGGUCCCAUGCAUUUUGUUUUCUGUUUUCUACAAGGGAGCCUGAAUCGGGGCCUCAGAAAAACAAGGCUGAGCUGCCAACUGGAAAUGUUUGCUCUGGGGGCGAGUUCGGAGGCUGGCGUCAGGCGGGGCCAGAUCCGUGCCAGCGGAAUGUGAUUUGGGGGGGAAGCUGCAGGUCACUCAAUCGCUGGCAGCCUGCCCGGGAGCAACUGGAUGCUUUCUGGGCUGUGUGUGUAUGUGUAGACUUUUUUCCCUCAUGCAAAUAGAGCCCUGGAGACGUGGAGACAGAAGCAUUAGGAAGAAACUAG